rnacentral:lncRNA from 1 species
CGUGCCUGCUCCCAGCAGGAGGCUGCAGCCCCAACAUGUUAUUAUUUCAAAAGAUGGCUGCCUUGAGUUGUCUUGGAGAGACCUGACCUGACCUUCUGGAGAAACAUGGAUUUAAAGCACCAUCCUUGACCUAGUGCAGACAGAUGGCAAUUUAUGCUGAGCACAAUCAGGACUAUUCAGCGUCGGGUAGGCUGGUCCUCCCCACAGGAGAGAGGCCCAAUCACAGUCCUAAUGAACACAUUGAGAGCUGUCUGCUCCAAAUGAGUCCCAGUAGGAGCCGGCCCACAGCAGCCGCACUUCUCCCAUCUGUCAGUCUGGCUCCAUGUACAUCUGUGUGUGUGGGAUGCUUCGCCUUUCUUGCGCUCUUUCGACUCGUCAAUUCAUUUGACCACAUACACAGACUUCAACAAGUAGAAACUCCCUCCAACAUGCGCAAACACAAUGGCAGGAAAAGCAGAUCCCACACCGAGCGGUGAAGAUCCCUCACACAUCAAUCACGGCCUCUUGUCGUGCGUCCGUCACUGGGGCUGACAGGAAUGCAGCCCCUCGCUCUGCCCCAAUCUGCACCUGAAGAGCUGCUGGCCAAACCCCGGUGCCUUCUGUCGCAUGUCAAAACCCCACUGGGCCCGCAGCACUGAGGAAG